rnacentral:rRNA from 1 species
CCUACGGGAGGCAGCAGUGGGGAAUCUUGCGCAAUGGGCGAAAGCCUGACGCAGCAACGCCGCGUGCGGGAAGAAGGCUUUCGGGCUGUAAACCGCUUUCAGCAGGAACGAAAAUGACGGUACCUGCAGAAGAAGGAGCGGCCAACUAUGUGCCAGCAGCCGCGGUGAUACAUAGGCCUCAAGCGUUGUCCGGAUUUAUUGGGCGUAAAGAGUUCGUAGGCGGUCGAGUAAGUCGGGUGUGAAAAUUCUGGGCUCAACCCAGAGACGCCACCCGAUACUGCUUAACUUGAGUUCGAUAGGGGAGUGGGGAAUUCCUAGUGUAGCGGUGAAAUGCGCAGAUAUUAGGAGGAACACCGGUGGCGAAGGCGCCACUCUGGAUCGAUACUGACGCUGAGGAACGAAAGCAUGGGUAGCAAACAGGAUUAGAUACCCUGGUAGUCCAUGCCGUAAACGGUGGGCACUAGGUNUGGGAUUCUAUUAACGAAUUCCGCGCCGUCGCUAACGCAUUAAGUGCCCCGCCUGGGGGAGUACGGUCGCAGACUAAACUACAAGAAGUAGACGCGNGAGACGNGCGACGACGACGACGAGGAGUAGG